UUCCUCAGAUUUGUGUGCAUAAUACUGAGUUUCAGCAUCAAAUGGGAGAUUGUUGGAGAAGAUACAGUGAUCAGCCUGAAAGUGUAACUGGCAGUAAAAACCCACUGAGAAGACCAAAAUGUUUUCCAGAAAAAAUGUGCAGUCAACAAAUUUGUAAUUCCGACCAGGGCAAAAGGACAAGACCAAACAAAGAUGAGACAGAAGUAUGGCGAUUAAAUUCAGAGGAAGACUACGAGCAUCCAAGUCACAAUCACAGAGAUAAAAGGUCUUGUUCCUGCA